GUCUCGUUGGCGCAAUCGGUUAGCGCGUUCGGCUGUUAACUGAAAGGUUGGUGGUUCAAGCCCACCCAGGUACG
rnacentral:tRNA from 1 species